GUUUUUCCCACCAUGGGAGGAGGGGAUGGGGUGUCUGGGACUGGAGCUGCGGAGUCAGGGACGAGCCCCACGCAGCUUGCCCCGGGAGGAAGGAACGAGGAUGGAGUGGGGGCAGGAGCAGAUGGUGAAUUCGAGGGUCUCGGACUGCCUCUUCAGAUACCCUCCACAAGAAUGCAGGGGUGUCCUCAGAGGAGUGACGUUCUCUCAGAUCAGUCCCAUAGCUGUGUGGGACCCUGCUCUUUCCAGGGACACCCUGAGGGAGUCCAAUCACUGGAGUUCAGUGCGCCACUUGUGAACAGCCAUGGGAGGGUCUGUUGGUGUGAUCCAGAAUGCUGCAAUCUUCCCAGAGAGAGAGGUCUUUUAAGAGACAACCUUCUAGUGGUCUCAGACAGUCCUCUGGCUGCCAGGUAGCCUCAGCAAGGCACAGCCUGUGGCUGCAGGUGACCAGCUCCUAGUAGUGAUUUCAGUUCUGCCUUGCAAGGUAAUCUCAGAGACAGAGAGACAGGAGAGUCGUGUGGCAAUUCCACAGGGUAGCCUUUAUUAUCCUGCACUCUACGAAGAGGGCCGGGGACAACAGCUCCCUCCUGAACUGGACAGAAGCUGGGGUAUUUAUGGGGGAAAGCAAAGGUGGUACCAACAGGGAAAAAAACAAUGGGUUAAAAAGAAUCUACAUGGGUAUAUCAGAGCAUUAUGGGAACUCACCGUGACCAGGGAGAACAGUCUCAUCUAAGGGUUAUCUCUCCUGGGGAGUGUUGAGAUGAGCUUAUCACAUUUCAUUCAAGGGACAUCCUUCUAGUGCAGAGUCCUCGCAGGCUUAUUUGCCUCCGUAGCCAGGAGAAAUCUGCAGUUGUGAAAACCAUCUCAUAUCUUGCAGCCUUUCCUGUGGCUGCAUAUGGGGCAUGAAGUUCAUUGGGGUAUUAUUUUAAAGAAGAACAGUUCCAAAUGUAAAGGUUUUUCUUCAUCUGUCUCUAAAAUCAUCUCCAUCUCAAGAAACAGAGGUCUUAGUUUUUUUUUUUUUUUCGGCAGAGGGCUUCACAUCACUUUAUCUUUCUCUGUUCAAGUUUCUUAUAAGAUCACAGUUACUUCAAUGUUUACUUAGUCCAUCACAAACAUUUUUGCUUAAAUCUGCAAUCUGAAUAUUCUCAUCAUCUCCCCAGUGCAUAUUUUUCCACAGUUUAAAGGGAUAUUUUAGCAUAUUACAUUCUGUUACCAUGGCUCACAAAAGACUUUCAGCCCAAAAACCAAGGCAUCUUCUCUAUCUCCUCAUCUAAGAUGUAACUCUUUCACCGACCGUUAUAUCUUCAUAUUGUCUCUUUACCUGUCUCACUCUGGCUUUCCUAAGACUCAGAGAAAAGGUUAGUGCUUUGCAAGUUUCAUCUGUGCGGUGAAAGAGUUAAAUUCUUGCUUGGGUCUCUCCCUCUUAGGCUGCGGCUCACAAUGUUAGAUUUCAAAGCCCCACUGAUGGGGGCGUGCUCAAAAACAGUGGCCAGGAUCUCAGUAGCUAGACUGAUGGACGUCUGUCGUGGUUUGAAGGGAAGUGAGUUUUUUUUGGAAGUAGUGGUCAAACCAAUCAGUCCUUAGGUCUGAGUAUUGGCACCUUUGUUGGCCACUAAGAGGUUGGACACGCCUCUGAGGACACGAGGGGUUAAAAGCCAGAUUUCCCAGCAGGACUCCCUCUUUCCCUGCUCUGCUUUCGGAGAGGGAGCGUCUUCUCCUCUUCCCCUGCCCAGGCCUGGCUAGGCCGGGUGGGGGAGGGGAGCAAGGUGGGCCUGGCUGAGCAAGGCAGAAGAGAGUUACCCCUGGACGCUGAAUUCUCAUAGUUGGUGGUUUUAGAAGAGAGAGAGAGGACAGCCUGGGACCAAGAGGGUAAUGGGAGAUGGAAAGAAGCCCCUUCGAUUGCCAGAAUGAAGAGGAGUGGCCUAUGAGGCUGGACUUUUCCUGCAUAAUGAUAGCCAUAGACGGACCCUGGACCCUCCUGACUAUAAAUAAGACUGUGUUUGGGUGGAUGUUUUUGGCUCAAACCCAGAGACGUUUUGGCCUGCUUCGUGGAGCCCCCAGCCCCAGGGGUAAAUGGGGGGGACCUGAGUCCCAAAAUGAGAAGAUGGCUGGUUUUUGGUACUUGGCCAAAACAUCCUUAAAAAGAGCCCUGUUGCAGUACAGGUCCAUGGACGGCAGUGAGAGUGCUGGACAUGGAAAGGAGGGUGUCACCCUGGCAGACUCUUCUAGGCAGUGCCAUGGGUGACGUGGGAACACGGGAUGGUGGACCUGUGUUUCCUGUGGGGGAGGGUCUGUGGUGCGAGAGAGACUCCUCUCGUCCUGGAUGGAAUGUGGAUUGUCUGAAUUUUAAAGGAUGAUGAUUUGGAUUAGGAACCCAGGGUUGUUGAGGGAUUAAGCAAGUAGAUGAAGGUAAUGUGCUGGAGUCAACUGAGUGAGCAUGUAUGGAAUGGAAAUUGGGGGGGAGGAGAAGCAGUGUUUUGGGAGGUUUUCUCUUCUGCUUUUGGGUGGUUGGGUUUUUCUUUCCUUUUCUAUUGUCCAUUGUUAUGUAGUAUAAUAAUUUGUCUGUCUGUUUCAAGUAUUAGGCCUGCUCUGCUCUGUUCUUGACCACAUCUCACAGGAGUUCAUUAGGUAAAAUAUACCCUCAUGGGUGCAUUGGCAAUUUGUCUAAUGUCAACCCAUGACAACGUCUCCUCCCUCGGUGACAUCAGGGUAGGCCCAGGCCCAAGCCCAGCACUGCCAGCACGGUAGAGCAGCGGUGUCUUCGCCCAGCCCCACCUGCUGCAUGGAGUGAGCCAGGCCAGUGGUUACCCGCUGUCAGGAUGUACAACAAAGAGGGAAAUUCCCAAGAUUCUCUAAUUUUUAACCUGUGUAGUCCAGAGGCAUUUCUAACUCUAAUUGGUCAAUCAAGCUGUCAAUAUUUUGCUAUAACUUCCUUGGGAAAAAAAUCAUUUCCAUGCUAAACCAGCACAAUCCCCAAAAAAUGCAAACAGAAUUUUUCCUUUCUGAGCAUACUAUAAAAAGACUAGGGGACCAUAACAACUGCAGAGAAGUCUGAUUUCAACUGUCAUUAUUCCAAAUGUCACAGUACAGUUGGUCUGUAGCUGGACAAAAUCAAUCUGGUCAUAACAAAUGCAAUUUGGCUAACCCGGCUCAUUCUAGAAACAAGUCCCUGAGUGAACAAUGGAACUCAUACAGGGACCUCAGCCAAUCAUGUUCAGUACAGUGGGCAGACAUAU